GAGCCAUUAGCUCAGUUGGUAGAGCAUCUGACUUUUAAUCAGAGGGUCGAAGGUUCGAGCCCUUCAUGGCUCA
rfam:Thermoactinomyces sp. DSM 45891 genome assembly, contig: Ga0066384_123